AAAAGUAUAUCUUUCAAAUAUUGUUCAUAAAUCAUAAGUCUCACAGCUUUGGGGUCCCAGAUUAGCUUUUGUGCUUAGUGAUGUCAAAUUAAAUGCAAGGAGUGAGAACAUGUAGUGGCAUUCAGCAUUAUAGGUGUAGAAGAAGAAAGGCAUUUGGUAUUUGGUAAUAGAGUACAUCUGAAGUAGUUGAAAAUCAUACUCGUAUUCUCAUUCCUUGCAUUUAAUUCCAAAAAUUCUGGAACAAUUACAAGUAAAAAGAAUACUCCUAUAAAACUUAAAGCAGCAUGUUAAUGCUAAUUGAAUUGAACAGGAAAAAGAAGUACCAGGCAGUUAGAUUAAUGAGGGAGGGCAAUAGCAAUAGCAGUAGCAGUAGCAGGCCUCGAAUCGAAUGCAAUAGAGAAUAUUAUAACAGUGGAGUGAGGCUACCGCACGUCUUCUUUAUUGGUUACAUCUUUUGUGAAAGCCAUUUCAGAAACCAAGGCAAUAUGAUCACUUCCCCAUUUCUGGAACAUAGCCAAGAUUUAACAAAUGAUAAAUACUAUUAACAGCAAUAUAAAUCAAAUAAAAUCAUGUUUCCUUGUUUUUGUGUGCGCAUUUGUGUCCAUGCCCACAUGGGGUGUGUGAUUUAUAGCGAGGACUUCUAUUUGGAACGACAUUGAUGAACUAGGAGGGUUCAUCUGUUGAAUUCUCUCCCUUUGAUAUUUUCAAAGUUUAUACUAUUGAUGGAAACUAUAUAUCACAGCCAUUGUUAUUUAAGGUCUCCCCACGAGGCGGAAGUGAAGCGCACAUAUUUAAAAAAAAUUAAAUAUAUAUAUAUAUAUAUACACACAUUCAAUCAUUUAUGUAUCAAAUUUAUCAACCAUUAACUAAUUUUACAAACUUCUAAGCAUGUUCAAAAAGUUUCUAUAGGACCAUACCUAUCUACUAUAGUGAUAGACUGAUAUAAUUAUAUCAUGAUUACAUGAUUCAUGAUUACAUUCUGCAUAAGUACAUAUAUAUAUAUAUAUAUAUAUAUAUAUAUAUAUAUAAGUAAUAAACACUAAACAACAAUAUAAAUGCAUAUUUAAAUAUUAAAAAAAUAAUUAUAAGUUAUAUACACAUUUAAUUAUUUAAUAAGUUAGUAAAUACCGGAAUAGUAGUGACUUAGUGUAGUAAAGUACCCACAGUUUCUGAAAAAAAUUGGACAACAUAACCCCAUAGUAUUUUGCAAAAUAGCCUUUUUUUUGGAUGAGUAUAAAAAAAACCAAAAAAGAAGAGACAAGGCAUUGCUCAAAGUAUCGGCCGUUACGCCGAAAUAUCGGCGCAUCGGUUAAGUAUCGGUGGGUGCCGAACCGCAACAAGAAUCACAAAAUUAGAAAAAAUUUAGGUAAAGGGUAUUUUUCAGCAAAAUUUCGAUAACUCGGUGUAACAUAACGUAACAUAACGAUUUCAGACUUGGGACCAAAUAACAAAGAAAUCACGGCAUAAAAGGGAGAAACGCCACAAAAAAAACGAAUAUGCUAAAAGGUAUAAAAGGGAUACGACAAAAGAGAACGAACCUCUAUAAGUUGUACUGAAAUUGUAAUACCUAGUUAAGUAUACCUUAAAAAAUUGAAAAAAUAUACUUAGUUAAACUAAAUUGUACUUAAAUUUUAACUAUAUGCACCAAGUAUAACUUAAAAAAAUAUAAAAAAUGUACUUAAUAUAUAAUUAGUUAAGUUCAAUUGUACCUAUAUAGUACCUAGUUAAGUACAAGUUGAACUAUUUAAGUUAAAUUUUAUUUUAAUUCUACAGAACAUGUAUGCUCAACUAUUGAGCCAAGAAAACAUCAAUAUCAACUUUAUUCAAAUGUAAAAAUGAUUAAACAUGUCUGCAAAAUGUUUGUUUUAUCAUCUAAAUAAUACUAUGUACACUAGAUAGUUUUUUUGUGAACUUAAUUGAUCAAUCUUGUUGUUCUUUGAAGUUCCUAAUUAGUUAGUGUUGCAUUAUCGCCUGAAACCAUUACCGAAACCAAUACCAAGUUAAAAAAUAACUUUAUAGGCCGCGACUUUGAACCAUGAGAUAAGGAGAAGGGAAAGACUUACCUGGAGGAGGAGGCUGCAAUUGAUGGUCUAGAUUGUUUAGAAAAAAAAUUACAUAACUUCAAUGAGACCCGUGCCUCGUGCACUUCGCACGCCUUGAAUGCACCUCAUUGAAGAAUAUAUUGUGGGCUGGGAUGGACGCCUUUUACAACACUGAUCACAACUUCCAAAUUACGAUUGCAAGAAUGGAU
rnacentral:lncRNA from 1 species